AAAAUACAAAACUUCUAACCUAAACUUCAUUCUUAUCACUUUAACCCUAAUCUUAUCAUCUUCUCUCUGAAGAUCAUCGGCAACAAAAUCAUAGUUGGCUUCAAUCUUCAUUUAGCGGAUUUCAACACUUUCUAAUCGAAGACAGCAAUGAUAGAAGGUACGAGGAUGGCGAUUUUGAGUCAGAUCUGAUUCAAGGGUAAACCUCAAAUCGUUUACGGUCUUGGAUGAUUUGUUAUGAACUAAUAGUUCAUCUCUCCACAACUUCAUCACGUACAAUCAUUUUUCUACAGAGGUUAAGAGUGUGCUUAAACCAGGUGGUAUUUACAUAUUUGUGGAGUAUGUGGCUGCCAAAGAUGUCACAUUUCUUAAAGUUUUACAACGCGUUUUAGAUCCACUGUAGCAGGUCUUUGCGAAUGGAUGCCAUUUUGCAAGGGAAACCAGAGACAAUAUAUUUGCAACAGGGUUCUUGUGUUUCAUAUAGUGAUAUACGGUUUAGGUGUUCGGUAUUAUCGGCACUACAAGAAAUAAAUGUGGGAUUUAGUAUUGAUAGGAGGUGGUAAGGUUAUGGUUAUAUAACAUAAUUUAUGGGGAUUGUGGGUAGUGCUUUGGUGGUGUAUAGUAACGGUUAAGGUUAUGAUGGGAUUCACAGUGGAUGUAUCACCAUGUUUGUAUGAUGUGACGGAUGGGCUCAGAAGCAUCGGGUCGUAUGAGACUGCUUUGAUGUUCGACUCAACUCGGUCAAGGUACUGGAUUUUUUGGUGUCUUUGUUGUUGCUAAGCCUGAUUAGAGAAACAAAAUUCUCUUCGUCGUGGAACGUGCUCUCAACCCAUGUUUUAACAUGUAAGACACUAUUGGCAAUGGUUGUAGCUGGGGAAGUUGAAGUACCACUCAUUAGUUAUUCUGCAACUGAGUUUGUAGAACUUUACUUAUGGAUGGGUGCAUCACGUGUUCAAGAACUCUUUGCAAGGGCAACUAAGGAGGCACAAUCAAUCAUAUUUAUAGAUGAGCGAAGAGCCAUGAUGGAAGGUUUCGCAUUGCCAGUAACGAUGACCAAGAACAAACUUUGAUUCAGGUGCAUACGAUAUUAUGUUAAGGCAACUUCUUUUGUAUUUGGUGGUUUCAUUCUUAUAAGUUUUCAGUUGGGAUUUUGUUAGUUCAGUUAUCUAACUUCCUUUUGCAGUUAAUUUGAUCAUUAUAGGGGAAUAUUGAGGCCACAGGUGGUUUCAUUCUUAUAAGUUUUAAGUUGGGAUUUUGUUCAGUUCUACAACUUCCUAUACAAUGUAACAACUUGCACGAAACCGAUAAUUUACGUACUAUUUUAAUAAUUAUUUAUUUCCUGCAUUUAUGUG